UUCAUCCAACAGAUACAUAUUGCAAGAAUAAAAAAUGACAGAACAAACAAUGUAUGGCAACUUAAUGAUUAAGAUGACAUCAAACUUCCUAAAAUCACAAAUUUUUUGCAACAUAACAUGUUAGGUGUACAAAGUUACUAUGGCUCCCCUCAGUGCUCACCCUUAAAAAAUUGGGAGCAAAGGCUUCUAUCUUUGCCAGGACGUACAAGAUCUUUAAAUGGGUUUAUACACAUUUAUCAUGGGAAGUAUACAAAAAGCAAAGCUACACAUCAAUUGGUUACUAGUUAGGAUUAGAAGCUUGAUAAACAUGGAUCUCUCGCAG
rnacentral:misc_RNA from 1 species